rnacentral:lncRNA from 1 species
CUUUUCUCUUGUAUUUGUAUUUUGGUUUUUGAAAUUGUACUUAAUGUAAUCCUUCCAAAUUUUUAUGAAUGAAAAUAAGAGUUUAUGGUCAAUUUAAAAUGUUAUUAUUGAUUAUUAUUAUUAUUAAAAUAUUUGCAAGUAAGACUUUGUAUGUUCCUUGAAAAUAAUAAAACCAAAAAAUAUUGCAUUCAUGCAUCAUUUACAUCUCAUGCUUCUUGCAUUCUAGCCCUUCG